CUCGAUAGCAUAGUUGGUAAGGCGCUCGUCUAGCAUACAAGAGUCUUUGGUUUAAAUCCCAGCCGAGCA
rnacentral:tRNA from 1 species